AGUGAGGUUUUUUUCCCCCGCUCCAGAGGCAGCGGUGCGCCCUUACCCGCGCCGCCCGGGAGGAGUAAGGAUCCUCGAAUAGAUUCCAGACGACCGGCCGCCACUUCCUCCACAGACUCCCGCUGCCGUCGGCGGCCACGUCCUCGAUGCCGAGCCUCUUGGCCACGUCGUCGUCCUCGUCCCCGGUGUCCACGUUGAGCUCGAACACGUCCAGCGCCUCCUCGGCAUCCCGGUGCUGCCGGUACGUCAUCCAGCAGCAGGGCUCCACGUCCGUCUCGUCGAUGCCCCAGAAGGAGAGCUCCUCCUCGAACAGCGGUCCGCACACAUCCGCCGGGCAGUGGAGCUUCCCGGUGCGGUAAUAGUUGAGCACGUAGGCGAAGACGCCCGGGUGGCGGUCGAAGAAGUACUCGUUGGUCCGCGCGUUGUACUCGAUGAAGCCGGGGACUUGUUGCAGGUGGUCCAGCACAGAGUCGAUGUCGGAGUCGGACGCCAGUAGGGCCAGGCGCGUGCCCGGUAAGGUCUUCAGGGUGCUUUUGUACGUCUCGUGUCUGGUGCCCCCCACGUUGAGGAUUAUCCUCUCAGUGUCGUCGAACUUGCCCAUCGCUGUGGAUCAGACAUGACUCGACGGGCGGCGGUGCGAGUCGGGCGGGUGCAGUCCGGAGGUAACGACGCGCGCGUACCCACGGUCCUGCUCGGAAAGGCUCACUUGGCGUUCUGGAAGGUUCCGACCGGCGCCUUUGCGGUUCUUUACGGAAGACGCGUGGAGGUCGUCCAUCCCGGUGGAUGUGGAUCAGACAAUGUCUCACACUUGGUCCAAGCAGGCGGGCGUGAAACGAUGCUGCCGUUACGCGCCCUUCCUCUAAAGACGCACACCCACGUCACGUCACUUCUUGAAAACAAAUAGUCAACAAAAUAUGCAAUGCUGCCACUUUACAUUUGCAGAGGAGAUUAGUCAUCCGUCAUGCAGUGUCGUAAUUAUUUUAGACCAGUGGUUCUCAACCUUUUUUCAGUGAUGUACCCCCUGUGAACAUUUUUUUAAUUCAAGUACACCCUAUAAGAGCAAAGCAUUUUUGGUUGGAAAAAAAGAGAUAAAGUAAAAUACAGCACUAUGUCAUCAGUUUCUGAUUUAUUCAAUUGUAUAACAGUGCAAAAUAUUGCUCAUUUGUAGUGGUCUUUCGUGAACUAUUUGGAAGAAAUUAUAUAAAAAUAACUAAAAACUUGUUGAAAAAUAAACAAGCCAUUCAAUUACAAAAAAAGAUUUCUACACAUAGAAGUAAUCAUCAACUUAAAGUGCCCUGUUUGGGGAUUGUAAUAGAGAUCCAUCUGGAUUCAUGAACUUAAUUCUAAACAUUUCUUCACAAAAAAAUUCAUCUUUGACAUCAAUAUUUAUGGAACAUGUCCACAAAAAAUCUAGCUGUCAACACUGAAUAUUGCAUUGUUGCAUUUCUUUUCACAUUUUAUGAACUUACAUUCAUAUUGUGUUGAAGUAUUAUUCAAUAAAUAUAUUUAUAAAGGAUUUUUGAAUUGUUGCUAUUUUUAGAAUAUUUUUAAAAAAUAUCACGUACCCCUUGGCAUACCUUCAAGUACCCCCAGGGGUACGCGUGCCCCCAUUUGAGAACCACUGUUCUAUGGUAUAUUAUUUAUUCAUUACUUAUUUGUUUACUGUUCUGUUACAGAGAACAAGGAAAUUGGAUAAAAUUGCUAUAAUAUGAAAAGAGGUAGGAAUAAAUAAGAUAUGCUUCUUCCUACUCCUUCCUACACGUUAAACCCAGAUUCCGAUCUAACAAAGGUCUUAACUCAUUCUCUUUUAUGCCACAUCAAUGUGGAAUGCAUUCCCAACAGGUGUAAAAGUAAGUGCAUAUUUAUCCUCCUUCAAAACCACUCUAAAACAACACCUCCAGGCAACUUCAAUCCUUUACUAAUCCUCCUCCAUUCACAUCCCACCUCCCCGGAUUAUAAAUAACCUAAUGUAAAUAAUCAAAUGUAUUUCUAAUGUAUAUACUUGCUCUUAUGCUAUCUGAACUCACUAUGUUCUCUGCUCGCUGUACAUAUCCUACUAAGUAAGACCUACACUGUUUCAAUGUCCAUUUCUCUGUUGAUGCAAUUAUUGAUGACUGAAGUACUGAUAUCAACCAAAGCUCCUCCUCCCAACCCCGGAUUGUAAAUAAUGUAAGUAAUUCAAUGUAUAUACUGUGACGAUUAACUUGUGUGAUGACUGUAUUAUGCUGAUAGUAUAUAUUGUACCAUGAAUUGAUUAACGUGGACCACGACUUAAACAAGUUGAAAAACCUAUUCGGGUGUUACCAUUUAGUGGUCAAUUGUACGGAAUAUGUACUGUACUCUGCAAUCUACUAAUAAAAGUUUCAAUCAAUCAAUCAAUCAAUCAAUUCCGGACGUGCUGUAAGGAAACAACUGGAAUUGUGUGAUGCAUUACAUUGAAUAAACUGAAACUGAACUGAAUUUGGGGCCACUGAUCACUUUUUUGUGAACCCUUUAGAGCAGGGGUGUCAAACGUACGGCCCGAGGGCCGGAUCAGCCCCGCGAACAGGUUUUAUCCAACCCGCGGAAUGAGAUUGCUAAAUAAUGUGUUAUGUUCACACUCCUGCCGCCUCGCCUCCUGCUGAGCGCACCGCGGGACACACCCACGGACUUUCCCUCCAUCUGAAGUCGCACCUCCGCGUGGCUGCAGAGAAUCAACAAUCAACACACCUGCCCCUGAUGAGAGACGUCUCUUCUUAAGCCAGCGCAUCCUGAGAUCCAAUGCCAGAACCUUCCCGUCUUCCUUCCCCGUUGUCGAGCUGUGUGUCUCGUCACCCCGGAUCCCCUUUGAACACCCUGCUGCCUCUCUGGAUCUCGACCUCACGUCUGCCUUUUGAACACGAUGCCUCGCUCCAGCCCUUGACUUUCCUGCUGUCUUUGGACUUCAAAGCCUGCCUUUCCCUCUUUGGACUUCCGCCUUGAUUCCAACACGUACCUUCAACACCCUCUGGUAACAACUCACAUAUACUUACCACAUAGUCACACUACAUUCAUUCUGAUUACGCACACACCUCACCUACAUUCCUGUCUGUCAAUAAACACGCUGACAGGUAACAAAGUCACUGUCUCCUUCUCCCGCUGUACCGUGACAUAUUGCUACAUAUGUACAAAAUAAACCAAAUGUUA